rnacentral:lncRNA from 1 species
AGCUCAGUGUCACAGACCUUUGUGGAAGCAACAACAGCUCCCAUCCUUCCAACCUUUCUGGAGAAGCCGUGGCCUGAUGGUGAGCCGAAUGGGCUGGGGGGGGAGAAGAAGGCGGCUGGGGCGGUGGGGAGAUCUGGGGCCCGGAUCGGUGCCCCUCCUCCCCAUGCCACUGCCACCUCCUCCUCCUCCUUCAUGCCGGGGACCUGGGGGAGGGAGGAUCUCCAUCUUCUCUCUGUCCCCUGCCCCUCAUACAAGAAGCUCCCCCUCCUCAUUUUCCCCUCCCACCGCAGGGCCCCCUUGCUCAGUGCUACAGGGGACAGGGGCUUCUCAGUCUUGCCACAGUGCUCUCCCUAUCCCAGCCACCCCCCCAACACAGGCUCAACCUGCAAUGACACCUGCCUCUGCAUCUCCCUCCUGGGGAUCCCACUCCACCCCACCCCUGGCCCCGGCAACCCCCACUCCCUCACAGCAGUGCCCCCAGGACUCUCCUGGGCUGCGGGUAGGCCCUUUGAUCCCUGAACAGGAUUAUGAGCGGCUGGAGGACUGUGACCCUGAGGGGUCCCAAGACUCACCCAUCCACGGGGAGGAGCAGCAACCCCUGCUUCAUGUCCCUGAAGGGCUCCGAGGCUCCUGGCAUCACAUCCAGAACCUGGACAGUUUCUUCACCAAGAUCUACAGCUACCACCAGCGGAAUGGCUUUGCCUGCAUCUUGCUGGAGGAUGUCUUCCAGCUGGGACAAUUUAUUUUCAUUGUCACCUUCACAACCUUCCUCCUUCGAUGCGUGGAUUACAAUGUUCUCUUUGCCAACCAACCAAGUAACCAUACCAGACCUGGGCCGUUCCACAGCAAAGUGACCCUGUCAGAUGCCAUCCUACCCUCAGCCCAGUGUGCUGAGAGGAUCCGCUCCAGCCCGCUGCUGGUCCUCCUCCUGGUCCUGGCUGCCGGCUUCUGGCUGGUCCAACUGCUUCGCUCAGUCUGCAACCUCUUCAGCUACUGGGACAUCCAGGUGUUUUACAGGGAGGCCCUGCACAUCCCCCCGGUCUUUCAUUCCGGAAGAGCAGUGCCAGGGUCGUGCGCCGCAGCUCCUGCUGCAGACAGCCCUGGCCCACAUGCACUACCUCCCGGAGGAGCCCGGCCCCGGCGGCAGGGACCGCGCCUACCGGCAGAUGGCGCAGCUGCUGCAGUACCGAGCGGUCUCCCUCCUGGAGGAGCUCCUGUCCCCGCUCCUCACCCCGCUGUUUCUGCUUUUCUGGUUCCGCCCUCGUGCCCUGGAGAUUAUCGACUUUUUUCAUCACUUCACUGUGGAUGUGGCUGGGGUUGGGGACAUCUGUUCCUUUGCCCUUAUGGAUGUGAAGCGCCACGGACACCCUCAGUGGCUCUCGGCGGGACAGACUGAGGCCUCGCUGUCUCAGCGUGCGGAGGACGGCAAGACUGAGCUUUCUUUGAUGCGGUUCUCCCUGGCGCAUCCACUCUGGCGCCCCCCAGGGCACAGCUCUAAGUUUCUUGGGCACCUCUGGGGCCGAGUACAACAAGAUGCAGCUGCCUGGGGUGCCACCUCGGCUCGCGGCCCCUCCACCCCGGGGGUGCUCAGCAACUGCACCUCGCCCCUGCCUGAGUUCCUGGCCAACCUCUUCGUGCACCCUCUCCUGCCUCCGAGAGAUCUGAGCCCGACAGCCCCCUGUCCAGCUGCGGCCACAGCCAGCCUCCUUGCCUCCAUUUCCCGAAUUGCCCAGGACCCCAGCUCUGUGUCCCCAGGAGGCACUGGGGGCCAGAAGCUGGCCCAGCUCCCAGAACUUGCUUCUGCCGAGAUGAGUCUCCAUGUCAUCUACCUGCACCAGCUUCACCAGCAGCAGCAGCAGCAGGAGCCGUGGGGUGAGGCUGCAGCCUCCAUCCUGUCCAGGCCCUGCUCCAGCCCCUCACAGCCACCCUCGCCUGAUGAGGAGAAGCCAUCCUGGUCAAGUGACGGCUCCAGUCCUGCCUCUAGCCCCAGACAACAGUGGGGAACCCAGAAGGCCCGGAAUCUGUUCCCCGGAGGGUUUCAGGUGACCACAGACACCCAGAAGGAGCCUGACCGGGCCUCUUGCACUGACUGAGACGACUCCUCAGGGCCCCACUCCUGGCAGCUGAGUGCUGCACCUGCCUUCUCGAUCACGAGCCUGAGAACUGCACGGGGGAGCAGCCCAGACUGGCUGGAAACCAUGUUUUCAGAGUGCAGGGUCAAGUGGCGUCCUCUGGACAGAUGUGAGAAGGCACCACCUCAAGAGGGGAGGAGCGGGGCUGAUCCUGGUCGGGCGGACCUGAGUCGGGCAGCCGCUCUCCCGGAACUGGAAGGGAAAGCCAGGCGGCUCUCAGGGGCUGUUGGUGUCUGAGCCGGGAGGGUCGAACGCCCAGGGCACUGCGCCCCGCAACUGACGCUCCUGCAAGGAAAAGCUCUGGCACGCCGAUGACGUCGCCGGCCUCGUCCAGCUCCAUGUCGCCCUCCGUCGCCAGGAUGCGCUGCACGGUCUGCAGGACGUUGGUUGCCAUGGUAACAUCGCCGCAGACAAACAUGUGGCCCCGCUCGAGGCACAGCACGCGGUGCACCUCCGCAGCCAGCUCCGUCCUCAGGAUGUCCUGCACGUUACCAUUGCGCCCUCAGGGUCUCACACCUUGGGGUUGUCAGGUUCCCGGGAGAAGGCGGUGAGGACUCGGCCAAACACCCCGCGCUGCUGGGCGUUCUGCACCUCGUCGCGGUAGAGAUGGUCAAGUUGGGAGCAUCGGCAGCCGAACACCAAAGUCAUGGGAGUGGGCUGCAGCCCUGCAAGCAACCCCGCGCUUGGGAAGGCUCUUCUCCGGGGCACAGUGCUAGUGGGGCCUCCCCACAGGCCACCGUCGCCCAGCCUGGCAGCCCAGCGUUUUGGGCUGAAACCACCAUUACUUUGGCUGUUUCAUCUCUAAGAGAGUGUAGAAUGCUUUCACAGAGACCCUGCACAGCCCUGAUUUACAGAGGGAAGGGAAGCGCGGGUGAGGUGGUGGCCCCUGGUGGAGCUGCGCUAGAAUGCGCGGCUUCGGACUCAGAAUUCCAUGCCCUUUGCAUUGUGUGACAUCGCAGUCCCCUUCCCCGCUCCCACUUCAUAUUCUCCCAUACUUAUAACUCUCCUCCCAGUCACAGCCCUCUUCUUUUGAUUGACAGACCACCCUGGGCACCCCAUGCUCAAUAUGAACACCUUGUAGCAUCCUUAGGUCUUGGACAGACCUCGGUCAGCUCUGGCACAGUCAAGAAUCCACCUUGGGCAGUUCUUCUUUGAGUCUUAGCCCUAAUCCCUUUGAAAAUUCUAUUUUCCUUUGUCCUCAAUCCAGUCAACACCUACUAUGUACCAGGCACCAGGAAGCCAGAAGCUCAGGGCCCAGCCCUUGCCUUUGGUACCUGCCCUCCCCUUGGUCUCAUGAGCGUCUUUUCAGCUUUGUGGACUUUGUUUCCUGCCCUCUCUUUCCUAUUUCCUGCCUUCCAGCCCCACCCCUCUGUCCCUAGAUUGUGUGACUCCCUUCAGGCAGUCCUUUAGUCCCCAGCCUCACCUUUGCUCUCAAUGUCAUGCAGCCGCUCCUGCCAGAAUCCCCGGAAGGGGGCAAUGCCAGUGCCUGGACCCACCAGGAUGCAGGGCAAGCUGGGAUCGGGUGGCAGCCGGAAGGAGGGAGCCCUGGCAGGAGAGACACUCCAUCAGGUCCCCUUUGCCUUUCCUGCUCCACCAUUCUCACCAUGCAGGGUGGGUGGAGCAAGGAGGACCCAAGUUCUUCCCAUCUC